rnacentral:rRNA from 1 species
CUCUGUGUAGAAAAUAGAUUAGCGGCAAACGGGUGCGUAACACGUUGAUACUUCCCCCUAAGUCAGGGAUAGCCUGGAGAAAUCCAGAUUAAUACCGGAUAGUCCCGAAAGGGUAAAGCAGCAAUGCGCUCAGGGAAAGGUCUGCGGCCUAUCAGCUAGUUGGUGAGGUAAUAGCUCACCAAGGCAAUGACGGGUAGCUGGUCUGAGAGGACGGCCAGCCACAAUGGGACUGAGACACGGCCCAUACUCC